GAGGCACGUUUUGAUUAGAAUCUAAUUAUUAAUCAAGGAACUGGAUAUCACCAGAUAUGAGUCAUCCGUACAUUAAAUCAUUAGUUUUGCAUGCACAGUUAAAUACUGUAAACAGUAUUUAAUAUAACGAUCCUGUGCGUCGUUCUGUAAAAGCGUGUUAUGCAGCCUUCUGGCUACUCACCCAUAUUGUCUCUCUCUCCGUGCACUAGUGUGAGCUGCCUGUUCGCGUGCUGAAACCUGAUGCAGGUUGGCAGCAAAAAUGAUAAUGGCUUCGCCAAGAACCUGAGGAUGUUAGCACGAGUUAAUGAAGUUGACCAUAUACAUCAUCAAGACACAGGUUGUAUAUCCAUGGAUCUCUGACUGUAUGUGUAGUAAUUAUUUCCUAUUUAAUGUGUUCAUUUUUAAAAAGUGCCCAGCAAGACAUUCUCCAAACUAAUGGAACAUUGAAAAAAGACACCACAUUCCUUGCUUUAUCACCGACGUUUUUGGUAUAAAAACAUACACUUUGACAUUAA